UGCAUUAUUUGCUCUGUUCUUGGAGCUGUUUGCUCUGCUCCUUUUGCUCUGCACCCCCAUGUGUUGCAAUGACUUUGCAUUGUUUGCUCUGCUCCUUUUGCUCUGCAUUCCCAUUUGUUGGGAUGUGUUUUAACUGCAUUAUUUGCUCUGUUCUUGGAGUUGUUUGCUCUGUUCCCUUUGCUCUGCAUUCCCAUUUGCUUUUGGGAUGAGUUUCAGCUGCAUUGUUUGCUCUGUUCUUGGAGCUGCAAGGGCUGUUUGUUUUGCUCUGCACCCCCAUUUGUUGUUGCAAUGACUUUGCAUUGUUUGCUCUGCUCCCUUUGCUCUGCACCCCCACGCAUUGGGAUGUUCUGACUGCGUUGUUUGCUCUGUUGCUCCAUCGCGUCGCGUCGGCCUCGCGAGGCUCAGAAAGGAAAGAAAUUAAACCAAAAUAACAACAAAGCAGCAAAAAAAACUCGCCUACAAUGUGAGGAAAUAGGAACCGCCGCCUUCCUGCCCCUGCUGCUGCUCCAUCACGUGUGUGUGUGUGUGUGUGUGUGUGUGUGUGUGUGUGCAGGGCAGGAAGCCGCAGUGGGACGCAGCUGUGCAGCAGGAGCAGCAGGAGCAGCAGGAGCAGGAGGUGCAGCCCGUCCUGCUGUGCUGCACAUGCAUCCCCCACCAGCAGCAGCAGCAGCAGCAGCUCCCAGCUGGGAGGAGGCCGGGCUGCAUUGCACAGAGCUGCAGGCUGCAAGAUGAACCUAACAUGCAUCGCAUGGGGCUGCAGCUGGUGCUGCAAGAUGAACCCAACAUGCAUCGCAUGGAGCUGCAGCUGGUGCUGCAAGAUGAACCCAACAUGCAUCGCACGGGGCUGCAGCUGGUGCUGCAAGAUGAACCCAACAUGCAUCGCACGGGGCUGCAGGCUGCAAGAUGAACCCAACAUGCAAUCGCACGGGGCUGCAGCUGGUGCUGCAAGAUGAAC
rnacentral:lncRNA from 1 species